GCAACCAGCCACCCCCUAUCUACACCACCGCAUCCAGCCACCGCCACCACUUCACUCGCCGCCAACAACCACCGCAACCUUCUCCAGCCACCGCGACCUCCACCAUCUACCUCCAGCCACCACCCUUCUCCAACCACCGAACCAGCCACCACCUCCCUCAAUCUCCAUUACCGCCAACCACCAACGGCCGCCGCCUACCCAAGGCGCCCGCCUUAUCCACGGCCGCCUCCUACACACGGCGCUCGCCUACCUACGUCCCCUGUUCCUCGCCCCCACCUCCGGGACCACAGUGAGCUAUCCCUCUUCAUUUCUCUUUUUUUUCUUUUUGUUUUGUUCUGUUUUCCUUUUAUUUGUGUCUGCCUUGUUUUCCUUUCGUUUUCUUGUGUUUGCUGUUAUUGCCCUGAGGACAGUGCUCGUUUUUGUGUGGGGAGGGGUGUGUGCUUGUUUUGAAAUGUAUGCUGUUGGGUUCUGGAUUGUUGGUUUUGGGCAAAUGGCCUCCUUGCGCUGAUUAAUUACUUGUCUUUGAGUUCACCCUUGGUCUUGACAUUGGUUUGCCAGUGAUUCUGGAACUGCAUUGGUUUUGGUUGUUGUCCUUGUUUGUCGCGAUUGACAUUUACCUAAGUAGUGUUAUGGGUUUAAUAUCUUAGAUGCAACAACUUGAUGAGCAACUCUUGACGUGAUUUGUCCGGUAGAUGCUAGGGGGAGUGUUUUCAUUGUAAUUGCCUAAUUUCUUAUCUCUUGUUGAAACGUGGUUUGUUUAUUGAGUUCUUGAUGGCUCUGGGUCUCUGCUCCUCUGAUGGUGACAUUAUGAGCAUGGGAAACCACGCGGGAACAUUUUGGUUUACCUCCAAAAAUUGCAAAUCUCGUGAAAUACGACCUAUUUGUCAAAAAAAAAAAAAAAUAAUAAAUAAUAAUAAUGAGAUUUGAUUGUAAAGGCGGUUACAUUAGGAAAUUCACCCCUAGCGGAGAACUGGGUUUGAUCGGAUUGAGUUGUAUCAUUUUGUUGUUGCCUC
rnacentral:lncRNA from 1 species